UUUGGAGUGCCAGAUUGAAUGGGUAUGAUUUAGGAUUAUAUUAUGGUUUGUUGGACCCUCUAGCG
rnacentral:tRNA from 1 species